rnacentral:rRNA from 1 species
UAAUACGUAGGGGGCAAGCGUUGUCCGGAUUUAUUGGGCGUAAAGAGCGUGUAGGCGGCUUUACAGGUCCGUUGUGAAAACUCGAGGCUCAACCUCGAGACGCCGGUGGAAACCGUAAAGCUAGAGUCCGGAAGAGGAGAGUGGAAUUCCUGGUGUAGCGGUGAAAUGCGCAGAUAUCAGGAAG